GAUGAAGAACGUAGCGAAAUGCGAUAAGUAGUGUGAAUUGCAGAAUUCAGUGAAUCAUCGAAUCUUUGAACGCACAUUGCGCCCUUGGGUAUUCCUUAGGGCAUGCCUGUUCGAGCGUCAUUUAAACCUUCAAGCUCAGCUUGGUGUUGGGUGACUGUCCGCUUCACCGCGGACUCGCCUCAAAAUUAUUGGCGGCCGGUACAUUGGCUUCGAGCGCAGCAGAAACGCGAACUCGGGCCCGUCGUAUUGGCUCCCAGAAGCUAUCUUCACAAUUUUGACCUCGGAUCAGGUAGGGAUACCCGCUGAACUUAAGCAUAUCAAUAAGCGGAGGA
rnacentral:misc_RNA from 1 species